rnacentral:rRNA from 1 species
GGGCCCGCACAAGCGGAGGAACAUGUGGUUUAAUUCGAUGAUACGCGAGGAACCUUACCCGGGCUUGAAUUGCAACAGAAUAACGCGAAAACGCGUUAGCCGCAAGGCUGUUGUGAAGGUGCUGCAUGGUUGUCGUCAGCUCGUGCCGUGAGGUGUCGGCUUAAGUGCCAUAACGAGCGCAACCCCUAAUUUUCAGUUACUAUCAGGUUAUGCUGGGGACUCUGGAAAGACUGCCGUCGUAAGAUGUGAGGAAGGUUGGGAUGACGUCAAAUCAGCACGGCCCUUAUGUCCGGGGCUACACACGUGUUACAAUGGGAGGUACAACAGGCAGCUACACGGCGACGUGAUGCUAAUCCCCAAAACCUCUCUCAGUUCGGAUUGAAGUCUGCAACCCGACUUCAUGAAGCUGGAUUCGCUAGUAAUCGCGCAUCAGCCACGGCG